UGGGGAAUAUUGGGCAAUGGGCGCAAGCCUGACCCAGCAACGCCGCGUGAAGGAAGAAGGCUUUCGGGUUGUAAACUUCUUUUCUCAGGGACGAAGCAAAUGACGGUACCUGAGGAAUAAGCCACGGCUAACUACGUGCCAGCAGCCGCGGUAAUACGUAGGUGGCAAGCGUUAUCCGGAUUUACUGGGUGUAAAGGGCGUGUAGGCGGGGAAGCAAGUCAGAUGUGAAAACCACGGGCUCAACCUGUGGCCUGCAUUUGAAACUGUUUUUCUUGAGUACUGGAGAGGCAGACGGAAUUCCUAGUGUAGCGGUGAAAUGCGUAGAUAUUAGGAGGAACACCAGUGGCGAAGGCGGUCUGCUGGACAGCAACUGACGCUGAGGCGCGAAAGCGUGGGGAGCAAACAGGAUUAGAUACCC
rnacentral:rRNA from 1 species